AUAAGGAGAAAGGAGACAGAACUCCCUCACUUGGAGUUAAUUUGUGGUAAUUAGACUGAGGAAGCAGCAGAGGAAGAAUGCUGCCUUUUUGGAAUCAGUGCAGUUUGUCACUGUGUGGUUGCUGGAGGGAUUCCUGUGGUGCUCCAGCUUUGGGUGGAGGAGCAGCAACUGGACCUUGAAAGGGUUACACUGAUGCUGUGUUUCUCCUCCCUCCUGGAUUAUUUGUAGCAAAACAGAGUCUCUGUGGAAGGGCUGAGCUGCCUGUGUCUUGGAGGAACUGACUCAGGUGCGCUGCUUAGUCUUAAUUCUGUGCUUAUGUUGUAGUGGACACCAGCCACUAUUCCUUUUGGCUUAGAGGGAGCGGCAGGUAAACAGGCUAAGAAAAGGGAAGCAGCUGAGUCUCUUGGUUGUUCUGGAUUUCCAUCCCACAUCCUGGUGGAGUCUGCCGUGAAAAGGUCCUGAUGGCCACUGAGGACAUUGACUGGCUAGACCUGCCUGGCAAGUGGACUUAUGGAGUUUGCAGUGACGGGAGAAUCUUCUUUGUCAAAUUAGUUUGAAGUUAAUUUAGCUGAUGCUCCUUCAUCAGCCCCAAUAUACUGCAGGCUGCCAGUUAAUGGCAUAACCUUUGGCAAUGGGGAUGAAGCUUAAGGUCAGAAAGCCUGGAAGUAGCACCGAUGACAUGGUGAUGAAACAAAAUCAACCUGCUGGACACAUCCAGGAAGUGGCUGUCCCAUCCAGAGUGGGCACUUCACCAAGCCAGGGAUGCCUAAAGGCUGGGAAAUGGACACUACCUCAAAGGGAGCUAUCUUCUUUAUCAGAUGAAACCAAGCAGCAUACAGACAUUAAGAAAAUAACAUGUUAGAACAAUAAAAUUCCUUCUAAAAAUCCAAGUGUCAAGCAAUUGGCACUAUCAACUAUUGCAAGAUUCUUGCUUUAUAGUUAGCAUAGCAUGCAUUGGUCUCACAAUCAUUGCCAUCUGAUAUGUAGCCUCGGCCUGCUCAAGGCUGGCUCUGGGGUGGGGUGGUUGGCAAGGGGGAGCAAGCACCCACUGAAACAAGCAGUUUGCCCUCAUCUCUCCCCGAUUUCUGUGUCAGAAAUCUAACAUGUGGGGCACAGUUCACCCACCCAGAAAUGCACUUUGGCUUCCCCCACAAUUUUCCUUCCAGUGCUGCCAUUGGCCAUGGUACACACUGGACAAGCUGAGGAUGAGCAAUAUAUGAAACUGUGGUGCAGAAGGACUCAGAAGGUUACAAACUUCUGAUCGAACUUGUGCUGGUGUCAAACUUAUUCUGCUUCAAACCCAUCCAAUGUGCCUCUGUGGGUCCAGUUUACACAUGUAACUACCCUUUAUGGCUGCCAACUCUGAUUGAAGCUAUUCCUGGAGAUUCCACCACCCAUUAAAAUCUCCUGUAUUGUUUUCAGUAGUUGCCCCUGAAGAUCAAUACCAACUCCAGGUCAGCAACUCUACUGCCCAUCUGGAGUUGUGCUACAUGGUUGUUUUUCAUGUAGUUGCAUGUGUGAUUUGGGCCUAGGUUUGUUCCUGGAGUUGUUUCUGAAGGAGGUUGGAAUACUUGUGUGAAUCAGGCCCUAGAGACACUGUGUGGCACUUGUGUGAAUAGGCCCUGAAGGCACUCUUUCAGAUAAAGCUGUUCACAACAAUACUGUGCUGUUUAAGUCUUCCCUCCACAGUUAAAGGAGAUGUUAAUAAUUAUUUCUGCACUGUUCCUCUCUUCAUCAGUGAACUUAUGUUAACCUUGCCAGGGAGGUAGUUGCAAGCCAAAUGGCCUUUGAACGUCUACUAGCUGAUGUUGGCCAGAGAUCAAAGAUGAUGGGGGUGGGGAGUAAUUGCAUUGGGAGGGAAUAAUGCCACCUUGCUCACAGAAGGCAGGAGAAACUUUGUUCCUUGACUAUAGAUUUUAGAUGCAGUCGUAAUAAGCCCUGUUCAGACAUUAUCCAAACUGGGGAUCCUCUACUCUUGUACAGUGUCCCAGAGAACAUGCUUAGAAGCCUACCCAGCUGUGUGUUAAAACUCCACCCCCUCACUCUUGACGCUUCCAGAAAUUGUCUGCAGUGCACUGCAGAAACAAAUGCCGUAUU